UACGUAGGGUGCAAGCGUUGUCCGGAAUUAUUGGGCGUAAAGAGCUCGUAGGCGGUCUGUCGCGUCUGCUGUGAAAACUCAGGGCUUAACCCUGAGCUUGCAGUGGGUACGGGCAGACUAGAGUGCGGUAGGGGAGACUGGAAUUCCUGGUGUAGCGGUGAAAUGCGCAGAUAUCAGGAGGAACACCGGUGGCGAAGGCGGGUCUCUGGGCCUUACCUGACGCUGAGGCGCGAAAGCUAGGGGAGCGAACAGG
rnacentral:rRNA from 1 species